UUGAACAGGCGACGGUGGGUCAGCUGUUUCCUUGCACUCAGGGUCCUCCAUUCCUGAACUCUCUACCGUUGGGGCCACUUCGCGAAAGAGGUAUUCGCACUUGGCCUAAAUCUGAUGUAGCUUUUCGUAGGUGGCAUGCUCGUCUUGUGGGUCAUGGUCCUACUAAGGCACUUUUUGAUAGCGCUAGGAUCUCUGAUUUGUUAGAAGUCUCUAUUCGC
rnacentral:lncRNA from 1 species